UACGUAGGGGGCUAGCGUUGUCCGGAUUUAUUGGGCGUAAAGAGCGUGUAGGCGGCCAGGUAGGUCUGGUGUGAAAACUCGAGGCUCAACUUCGAGAUGUCGGCGGAAACCAUUUGGCUAGAGUCCGGAAGAGGAGAGUGGAAUUCCUGGUGUAGCGGUGAAAUGCGUAGAUAUCGGAAGGAACGCCGGUGGCGAAAGCGACGUGCUGGACAUCUUCUGACGCUGAGGCGCGAAAGCCAGGGGAGCAAACGGG
rnacentral:rRNA from 1 species